rnacentral:rRNA from 1 species
AUGUCUCAAUUGGGUUAUAUGAUGUUAGCUCUAGGUAUAGGUUCUUAUCAAGCUGCUUUAUUCCAUUUGAUCACUCAUGCUUAUUCAAAAGCUUUAUUGUUCUUGGGAUCCGGAUCCGUUAUUCAUUCAAUGGAACCUCUUGUUGGAUAUUCACCAGAUAAAAGUCAAAAUAUGGUUCUUAUGGGCGGUUUAAGAAAAUACAUUCCAAUCACAAGAACUACUUUUUUAUGGGGUACACUUUCUCUUUGUGGUAUUCCACCUCUUGCUUGCUUCUGGUCCAAAGAUGAAAUCCUUAGUAAUAGUUGGUUGUAUUCGCCCUUUUUUGGAAUAAUAGCCUCCUUUACUGCAGGAUUAACUGCCUUUUAUAUG